rnacentral:RNase_P_RNA from 2 species
UCAGUAAAUUGCCUUAUCGCUUUAAAUUUAUUUUAAAGAGGAAAGUCCGGACACCGUAGUGUAAUCAUAGUGGUUAACAGCCAUCCGCCGAGAGGUGAGGAAAAGUGCAACAGAAAGAAUGUACAGGUCAUGCUGUAGUGAAACCAGGUAAACUCUAUGAGGUGCAAUACCAUGUAUACUAACGUUUGAGCGUACACGCGCGAUUGUUAGAGGGUAGGUAGCUAAAGCGUGUUGGUAACAGCAAGCUCAGAUAAAUGAUAGGGGCUUCUUAGGAAGUACAAAAUCCGGCUUAUAGAUUUACUUACUUA